rnacentral:misc_RNA from 1 species
CAUUUGAUUAAAGUCACCAGACUUCCAGCUGUACCCUUGAUGUUUAUAGGAAAUAUCUCAGAAAUUACAACCCAUGGUAAUCCUAGCAUGCCGACAGAUAUAGCCACGCUAUAGCCCAAUAUACCAAUAUAGACCAAAAUGGGAGGGAGUGAUCCCUGUCAACUUGUGAAGGUCCUGCAAGCAGAAUGCUAUUCCUAUGAGAAAGCAACUUAAGCACAUGCCAAAGGCAGAAACCAUGAGAAGUGGCCUCCUUCCACAUUUAUCUGUUAAGAGAACAGAAACAGCAGCAGCUGGAGUCUGGAUAAUAGCAAUUGAUAUUAGCCCAACAUUACUGGAGAAAUCAGCUUUUUCAAAAAUGGAGCUAGCAUAAUAUGCAAUUGCAUUGAUCCCUCCAAACUGUUGAAAUAGAAGUAUCCCAAUACUGACAAUAAGAAUAUAAGCAUAUCUCCACUGGAAUAAUUCUAGUAUUCUAGUUUCAGAAUGCCCCUGAAAAUUCUUGGUAUAGUCUCUAAUAUCAGCUGCUUCCUGAGAAAUAUCAGCAUUCUUUCCCCUGAGGUGCUGCAGAGUCACUUCUAACUCUUUUUCGUGACCAACUUUUGCCAACCAUCUAGGAGACUCUGGGAUGAAGAAAACACCUAUAGUUUGCAAUGCACAUGGAAAAGCCCCAAUCAGAGCCAAGGUGCGCCAGGAAACAACAGUUCCAAUGAAAUAUAUUAGUGAAAGUCCACAACCUGCCAUGAACUGACUAGCAGAUGUAAGUCCCCCACGAAUGUUUUUAGGUGUUAUUUCUGCAAUGUACACUGGUACCACAAAAAGUGUAAUCCCAUGUCCGAUCCCUAUUAAAAGUCUUCCAAGAUCCAGCAACCAGGCACCCUGUGCAAAUGCUAUUGCAAGCCACCCAAUGAUGAAGAAAAAUUCAGACACCCACAUUGUAUAUCUUCGACCAAUGAGAUCAGCCAUCGUUCCAUUUAUUAAUGAACCUAGCAUUCCUCCAAUUGUAACAACAGAACCAAAGAUGGAGUAAGCGGCCACAGACAUGCCCAGGUCUUCCAUGAUUCCGGACCGAGCAGGUGAUGAAUACCCUGUAGAACACCCAACAGCAAAGGAACCACAGAUGGCGACUAUGGUGCUGAGAACCACAGGAGGAGUGGCCAAAGAAUCGCUGGAUGGGGGGAGGUCGUGAAUGCCAUGAGCAUUGGGCUGAGAUCUUGGAUGUAGCAGUAGC